UCUUGCACGCACAACUGCUCGACUCCCUGAUUCUUUCUUCUUUCACGAGCACCAGCACCAGCUCCAGAAACGCACGCACCUGUGCACGCCGCCACCUUGAUUUUCCCCUUCGAUUCUCUCGCUCCCUAUCGUUUCUCUGAAAACCAAAAUGGCCAAAUUAAUCUACAUCACCUGGUGAACCGAUUCAGCUUUCAACCAUCAGUUUCCUGUCUUCAAUUCCCCACUGAAACGGACGCCCCGAGUGCAGGUUUUUGGCAUACGUUUCCUGAUCUCCCACCACAGCCCACAAAACAUAAUUCCUACCGCGCCAUAUUGAGCCUCUUCGUCUCCUCCUUCGUUUCCUUGCCCAGAGUUUCGCCCGAGAACCAUUGUAGAGCCCGUGCUAUUAUCAUCUACCCCGCCGGCCGCCGUCACCAUUCUUGAUGGUGAUACCACGAGGUUAUGCAUCAAACAUGAACCGUUGGCCGCGUCGUCCCCGAGCUGGCAGCCCACAACACUAUCACGGACGCCGCCGGCUGUUCCCGCUGAACCGGAGCCCCGCAGGUUGCAAUCUCGCGCCAGGAGCAGAGCCUCAACGCAGCAGAGUCACCGCCCUAACCCGCAGCCCAGCAGAACGACCACGUGGGACGGAUUUCAUUCAUCUUUGUCAACUUCGGUCGUCGCGUUCAUGGCACGAUUUCUUCCCCUUCGAGAGUGACAAGGUGGAACCAGGACAAGAAUCUGAAGCUGAAGAAGAAGAAAUCAUCAACGGAG